GGAUGUGAGGGUAACAUGGUUGUGGCAUCUGUCACUCCAUUUGUCACCAGGGCUGAACGGGUUGAUACAGCUAGCAGCUAGCUAGGCAGGUGUCCCUUCCUUCCUCACCACGCCAGGCAGGUGACCCUUUCCUUCUGUGUGCUUGUCACAGAAGACAACCCUCCCAGACAGAGGGCACACAGGUAGCUGAGGUCCCCCUCAGACAGAGGGCACACAGGUAGCUGAGGUCCCCCUCAGACAGAGGGCACACAGGUAGCUGAGGUCCCCCUCAGACAGAGGGCACACGGGUAGCUGAGGUUCCCU
rnacentral:snRNA from 1 species